AACAAUGUCUUCGUAUUUUUUUUUAAAUAAAAUUUUUCGUCGCUGCUGUUUUUUUCGCUCGGGAACCGAGAAAAAAAGAAUUACAAAUACACCCAUGAUAAAGAACCAAGGUACAUAGAGUCAAUUAUUUUCAUGGCAUUUACCUAAACCAGUCUAAGUUUUCGCGCAGGCGCAAAAAUUUCCCAGCAAAGUUCCAAAUGACGUUGGAAAAUUCAAUGUCGCAUAUUUGUUUCCUCACAUCGUUUCAAAAUUUUCAACAGCAAAGACGUUUAUUCCCUUGUCCCGAUUGUGAUUAGACUAAUUUUUUUUUGAAUUGUUUUUGUUUAUUGGCUGUUUGACUAAUAUUUUUUAAUUCAGAGAAGAAAUAAAUUUUGGUGUUCAAUUUUAAAAUGUUCAAAAGACGUUUGUUGUUGACUCGAAUCGUUGGAUGCUGCGAGCAAUGAUUUUGUGCGACGUGGUGUGAACUCAUAAAAGAAAAUCAUUGGAUGACGUUCAUUUAUGUUACAACAUUGGAAUAUAAAAGAAAGGAAGGAAAAAAAACAUUCUUAUGUGUCACAACAUAAUUCCUCUACACCAUAUUGAAUGGAGAAGCCUGCGCACUAUGGAAAAACUUGAACUUGAAACGUAAUCGGUGAGUCAAUCGAUACUAUCCAUUAUGCAUAUAUAUAAAAAAAAAGUUAUAUCCAUAUGCCAUACUAUUUUUUAUAUAUACUCUGCUUGCGCUAUGAAGUAAGUUUCCAUAUUAUUUUUUUGUUUUUUAAUUCUUUGCUGGUAUUCAUAAUAUUAAAGAAAACAAAUGCAAAGUAAAUAAGUGAGUCAGUUGUUAGUUGAUUUUAUAAAACAGUUCGAGUAAUGGUCUCGAGGUGUUUUUGUUAUACGUGUAGAAAAUGGUUUCUAAUUAAAACGAAAAAGAAAGAAAAA